rnacentral:rRNA from 1 species
UACGAAGGGGGCUAGCGUUGCUCGGAAUCACUGGGCGUAAAGGGUGCGUAGGCGGGUCUUUAAGUCAGGGGUGAAAUCCUGGAGCUCAAUUCCAGAACUGCCUUUGAUACUGAGGAUCUUGAGUUCGGGAGAGGUGAGUGGAACUGCGAGUGUAGAGGUGAAAUUCGUAGAUAUUCGCAAGAACACCAGUGGCGAAGGCGGCUCACUGGCCCGAUACUGACGCUGAGGCACGAAAGCGUGGGGAGCAAACAGGGA